rnacentral:lncRNA from 1 species
CUGGAAACAAAGAUCAUUUUCUUUUCCUCCCUUCCCCCCCUCCCACCACCUUUCCCUCUCCCAUAGCCGACACACGAUUCCACUGGUUAUCACAUGUGUUCUUGACUCAAACCCAUUUCCCUGUUGUUGGUAUUUGCAUUAGAGUGUUCAGUUAGAGUCUCUCCACAGUCAUAUUCCCUCAACCCCUGUAGUCAAGCAGUUGCUUUUCAUCCGUGUUUUUACUCCCACAGUUUAUCCUCUGCUUGUGGAUAGUAUUUUUUAGAUCCCUGCAGAUUGUUCAGGGACAUUGCAUUGACACUAAUGGAGAAGUCCAUCACCUUCGAUUGUACCACAGUGUAUCAGUCUCUGUGUACAAUGUUUUCCUGGUUCUGCUCCUUUCGCUCUGCAUCACUUCCUGGAAGUUGUUCCAGUCUCCAUGGAAUUCCUCCACUUUAUUAUUCCUUUGAGCACAAUAGUAUUCCAUCACCAACAUAUACCACAAUUUGCUCAGCCAUUCCCCAAUUGAUGGGCAUCCCCUCAUUUUCCAAUUUUUGGCCACCACAAAGAGCACCGCUAUGAAUCUUCUUGUACAAGUCUUUUUCCUUAUUAUCUCUUUGGGGUACAAACCCAGCAGUGCUAUAGCUGGAUCAAAGGGCAGACAGUCUUUUAUCACCCUUUGGGCAUAGUUCCAAAUUGCCCUCCAAAAUGGUUGGAUCAGUUCACAACUCCACCAGCAAUGAAUUAGUGUCCCCACUUUGCCACAUCCCCUCCAGCAUUCAUUACUUUCCAUAGCUGUCAUGUUAGCCAAUCUGCUAGGUGUGAGGUGAUACCUCAGAGUUGUUUUGAUUUGCAUCUCUCUGAUUAUAAGAGAAUUAGAACACUUCUUCAUGUGCUUAUUAAUAGUUUUGAUUCCUUUGGCUGAGAACUGCCUGUUCAUGUCGCUUGCCCAUUUGUCAAUUGGAGAAUGGCCCCUGGUGUUUAGCUCCGCCCAGAUGUUCAGCGCAACCGCCCCAAGUACAGCUCCGCUGACCCCCGUGCUCAGCGCCGAGUUCUCCUGUGAAACCACCCUGAGAUGUUUUUUCCUGGCAGUCUUCAGAUCCCAAGGACCCUGGAGUGCCCCUCCCCCCCCAGACAGAGACGUUCCUCACUCACUCUCUGUCCCAGUGAGCGCUCAGUGUGGAAAUGUUCAAACCCCACGUACCUUCGCCUCUGUGGAGUACUGGGGAGUACUAGAGUGUCCUUCUGUUCCUCCAAAGGUGAUUUUUAUGCUCCUUUGA